CUAGCGGCGGACGGGUGAGUAACGCGUGGGAACGUGCCCUUCACUACGGAAUUAGUCCGGGAAACUGGGUUUACUACCGUAUACGCCCUUCGGGGGAAAGAANUUCGGUGAAGGAUCGGCCCGCGUCUGAUUAGGUAGUUGGUGGGGUAACGGACUACCAAGCCUACGAUCAGUAGCUGGUUUGAGAGGAUGAUCAGCCACACUGGGACUGAGACACGGCCCAGACUCCUACGGGAGGCAGCAGUGGGGAAUCUUAGACAAUGGGGGCAACCCUGAUCUAGCCAUGCCGCGUGAGUGACGAAGGCCCUAGGGUCGUAAAGCUCUUUCACCAGGGAAGAUAAUGACGGUACCUGGAGAAGAAACCCCGGCUAACUCCGUGCCAGCAGCCGCGGUAAUACGGAGGGGGUUAGCGUUGUUCGGAAUUACUGGGCGUAAAGCGCGCGUAGGCGGACUGUUAAGUCAGGGGUGAAAUCCCGGGGCUCAACCCCGGAACUGACCUUGAUACUGGCAGUCUCGAGUUCGAGAGAGGUGAGUGGAACUCCGAGUGUAGAGGUGAAAUUCGUAGAUAUUCGGAAGAACACCAGUGGCGAAGGCGGCUCACUGGCUCGAUACUGACGCUGAGGUGCGACAGUGUGGGGAGCAAACAGGAUUAGAUACCCUGGUAGUCCACACC
rnacentral:rRNA from 1 species